CGCGGGGAAGGCCCGUGUGAGACUGCGGGGCUCGGAGCCCCCGUGCUCCGUCCCGAUGGGCUCAGGGCGAGGAGCGGAGCGUGACGAGAGCUCUCGCUGCUGGGAGCCCGCUGCUAAAGGCGGUGAGGGAAACUCUCAGCUCUUUGCUGUGCCCCCUCUCCGUCCUCUUCCAGUUUGAAGGAGUGAAGAAAGUGUAGUAGCAGAGUGAUCGAGGCACACCUGGUGCUUUGUGAAAGAACAAAAGGUUAAAAGGCACGUUAGUACACUUAGAUGUUAGGUAAAAUAAUAAUAAAAACGUGGGCUGUGAUAUUGACAUCUAGGAGGAAAAAAGCUUGUUUUGUAUUUGCUUAUAGUCAUUCCCCGGAAAUGAUUAUUUCCAAAAAUAGCUUCCUACUGACUUCAAAUGGAGGGGGUUUGGCACUUCAGAUGAUAUGUUACGAGUAUUCUUAAUGUGGAGAUGUUGAACCCCAAGUUAUGCAGUGGGCUGCAGUGGUGGAAACGGUGGUUUUGAAGGUGAUGCCCAUUUUUAAAGAAACGAGACCAAGCUGGAAAAUUAAAAGAAUUAACUGCAGGCACUCACUUUACAUUAUGGUAUAUUAUGCUGUAUACUUUUUCGUUCCUGCUUUUUUUAAUAAACUACUUUUGAUGCUGUGUUGAAGGGCAUACUGCAUAUAUAUAGCUUUGGUAAGUUGUGUUGGCCUUCCCCCCCCCCCCCCCCCCCAGUUUGAUACAGGACAAACUGGAAUUUACUCCUUAUGUACCUUAACUAUUCUCCUAACUCUUUUUCUGAAGUGAGACUUUCUCUUUUGUCUGUGUCUACAAGACUUCUAGUUGUGAAGAUUACACAACAAGGUUUGGAGAUAUUAUUAGAAGCUUUCAACUGGAAGGUGCUAAUUGCUGUAUGAUCAGAGUAACAAUAAAUUGUUACUUUUCAAUUUAUUAAUUUGUAGGAUUUAAAUGAAUAUGCUUGUUCAGAAGUGCUGAACUCUAUAUUAGAUACAAAAUUGUCUUAGUGAUAAUGUUUCGGUGAAAGUGGCAGCUCAGUACUCAGCAGUCAAAAAGUUAAAAAAAACAUUAGGACUCUCAAGUAAGUGAAAAUAAAAGGGCAUCAGUAUGUCACUGUAUAGAUCCUUGUUGGGUAAACAUAUGUAUUACUAAAUGCAGUUUGGAUAUUUAUACUGUCUUUCUCUUCUAGCUCAAAAAGACUUAAGAACAAAAGUAGGGAGAAAGUUCAUUAGGACUUCUUAUGCAGGGGAAGAGUUGCAAGCAGAAGGAUAAGAGACUGAAGUUUAAGUCAUGAGCAAAGUAGAUAGGAAGCAAUAGCUUUUCUCACCUGUUCAUGAAAGGUUCCUGUAGUUUACAAAUAAAAAUAAAUAAUAAUUAAAUAAAGCAAUCAAAUUGUAUAUAAUGUGUAACUACAAUUUCUGGUGCAGCAGAAUCUUAGGAAUGUUGGAGUAUCCCAGACUCAGUAAACAUCAAGAUGACUGGUCAGUGGGAGGCCUUGCUUUUAUGCUCCUUCAUAGUUGUCCUCCAUUGGAUCAUGGUAUAGGGAAGCCAACAAGCUGGGGAGAAGGAAGUUUGUCUGACAUAAGAUUGUACACAUAUUUUAUAAAAGUUGCAGUGUUUUUGCAAACUACUGCGAUGGUCUGCAGAUUAUGGGAAGAAAAUAAGCAGAAUAGUUCAAAAAAACUACAGUAUGGUGUACACAGAACAUAUGACAUGUCCCAUUUCAAAAAUGUGUAGAUUCCUUUUCCUUGAUGCAAAGAUGCUUUAGCACACCUUUUCAUAGAGUCUGAGCAUCACUACUUAAUCUGUGUUCUCUUUCACUAUGAAUGGACCAAGUACUCAUUGAUCUGUAACUGAAUGCAAAUUGAUGGCAAAAAAGAAAAAAAAAAAGUCUGUCCUUUUUAGAAGAGCAAGGAGAUGCUUAGUAAAAUGGAUGUGGUAAGCUUGGAGUUGACAUACUCUGUAUAAGCUUGAACUCUCAUUUACAGUCUACAGAAGAAUUUGGAAAGGAUUAGAGAUGCUUUAGGGAUAGUGAGCAUUAUAGUAAGUGCUGGGACUACUGACAAGUUGUAUUUUGGGGCAUGAUCUAGUUGCAUUAAAACAUUCUUCAGUUAUAAGGAGUUAUGCCAUGGUUCCAUAAUUCUCAGUGAGAAAAUCCGGUUUUCUUUUUCUCUCUCAUAGUUGGUACGAACUAUGGAUACUGAGCUUGAUAGAUAGAGUUGGCAGAGCAGAGAGGUGGUUACAGUGUUCCCUUUCCUUGUGUUAUAAUGUAUAUCUGGGUUACCUAGGGUGAAACAAAAUUACAGGCUUGGAAACUCUGGAAAAGCUCAGCAUCAGUAUUUGAGGUAAAAAUGAACAUACUGAAGUAAUCUUGGGAGUGUCCUUAUUAAGUUCAUGGAAUUGAUUGGAGAAGAAAUUUUCAUCAAGAUUAUUUUUGCAUUUAAGUUUUCAGUAUUGAUUUAAAAGAAAAAAAUGCCUUCAAAUAUCUUUUUAGAUAUAGCAAAACUAAUACUUGAGGUGAAUAUAUCAUGUUAAUUUUGUGCUUUCCAGCUUUGAGAAUACUGUGGAUGUUAGAUAUACAACAUUUGUGUUCUUAUGUUGUAGUUUUGUAAAGAUGUUAACAUAUGAAAUAGUCUUGAAUGACUAGUAGAUUGAUGUGAAUAGGUAAAUGUAUUUUUAUAGGAAUUAACUUGAAUUGCACGCUAUUAUUACUAAUAAAGUAUACAUAUGCUCAUGUGCUUAGAAAGUAAGUAAUGUUUUUUCUUUAUGAUCGGUUUACUGUAUUAUGGCUUGAAAGUGUGAUUCAUUAGAAAACAUUAAAAGAAAUCUGAAUUUCAUUCUAACUUUAAAUGAAUUGUGCAUGGAAAAAUCAUUAUAUUUAUUUGAAAAAUGUUAUAAAACAUUACUAAUGUAUUUCUCAUAUGAACCAAUUACUAAUACGAAUAGGAUUAGGGAUGCAUUAAUUCCUUGCAUAUUUAAUCUAUCAAAAAAUAGCUUUUAAAUUGUUUGUAGCUUUGUUUCUACUACUAAAUUAAAAUGUGCUUAGAGUGGAUUUAAAUAUUUUGUUUUCUCUCAACCAGUUAUAGUGUGGUAUUGACAUGUCAUAAAAUGUUUAUAAGCAAGUGAAUUUCUACAGCUAACCUUGAUAUUGUAAUUCUCUUUAAAAAUAUUUUUUAUAGCUCAGAGAUCUUUUUUCUUCUUGCGUUUCAGAGCCGAAGCCUGCAAAUUAUGUGAUUAACCUACAAGCUGAUAUCAUGAUGUCAAAAUGCAGUUUGGAAAGCAUAAGCACAGAGGCUGCAGAGAUUAAAACGGUAAGUGCAUGCUUUGUAGUACAGGAGAAAUAGAUUUUUUAUGUAUCAUUUUGCUGUAUUCUGCCUGAUAUGUAAAACUCCUUCAGGACCACCACGUCACCAUAAGGUAAGUGAGACUGUAGAAAUUUACCCUGAAUUUCUUUGAAAUGAAUAAGAAUGAUUAAAAUAGCUAAUUUAUUUUAUCUGUAGGUGGUUAGAUAAAGCAGUGGCAUAAAGAAAAAAGGCAUUUGUUGUGAAAUACGUGCCUUGAUAUCUCUUGUGAAACUGAAUGUAAAUGUGUUCUUUUUGUUUUGACAUUUUUAAAAAGUGAAUGUUGUGUUUAAGUAUUUCUUGUGGGUUUUUGCAGUGAAAUGUAUUUCUAUAGAAUAAAUAAAAUCAAUUUUUAAAAAGUGGGAAGAGGGAAGAUGUGUAGGAUUAAAAUUAGAAUUGAGUUUGUUUCAGAUAGAAGGAUAAAUAAACAACAAGAUAAUAACUAUAUAACUAAAAUAAACAAGAUAGAAGGAUGAAAAAAUAACAGAUAAAGUUAUUGUCUUGAAGUGAAUGGCAGGUAAGUUGUUACGGUCUUACUCCCAGUAAUAUACUUCAGUUUGAAUUAUGAGUUGAGCAAAAACAGGAAAGAGGCUGUCUGAUAAAGUUGUAUACAAUAAAAAUCGAGAACUUUGGUGUCAAAUUGAGGACAGACGUGUAUGGAGC
ensembl:lncRNA